rnacentral:rRNA from 1 species
AACUAACGCUGGCGGCGUGCCUAACACAUGCAAGUCGUACGAGAAAGUUGGCUUCGGCCGAUGAGUAAAGUGGCGCACGGGUGAGUAAUGCGUGGAUAAUCUGCCCUUUAGUUGGGAAUAACGUACCGAAAGGUGCGCUAAUACCUGAUAAUACUGCAUAACUACUGUUGUGUAGUCAAAGAAGGCCUCUGUUUACAAGCUUUUGCUGAAGGAUGAGUCCGCGUACCAUUAGCUGGUUGGUGGGGUAAUGGCCUACCAAGGCUACGAUGGUUAGCUGGUCUGAGAGGAUGAUCAGCCACACUGGAACUGAGACACGGUCCAGACUCCUACGGGAGGCAGCAGUGAGGAAUAUUGCGCAAUGGGGGCAACCCUGACGCAGCAACGCCGCGUGAGUGAGGAAGGUUUUCGGACCGUAAAGCUCUGUCGAGCGGGAAGAAAUGUAUCAUGGCUAAUAUCCAUGAUAUUUGACGGUACCGCUAGAGG